CCUACGGGUGGCAGCAGUGAGGAAUAUUGGUCAAUGGGCUUACGCCUGAACCAGCCAUGUCGCGUGAAGGAAGACUGCCCUAUGGGUUGUAAACUUCUUUUGUCAGGGGGCAAAGCCGGCUACGUGUAGCCGGACUGAGGGUACCUGCAGAAAAAGCAUCGUCAAACUCCGUGCCAGCAGCCGCGGUAAUACGGGGUAUGCGAGCUUUAUCGGGUUUUUUUGGUUUUAAAGGGUGCGUGGGGGGAAUGCAAAGUCAGGGGUAAAUACGCGGGUCAAAACCCCGAUCCGCCGUUGAUACUGGCGAUCUUGAGUGGGCGAGAGGUAUGCGGAAUGCGUGGUGUAGCGGUGAAAUGCAUAGAUAUCACGCAGAACUCCGAUUGCGAAGGCAGCAUACC
rnacentral:rRNA from 1 species